rnacentral:lncRNA from 1 species
UUCUCAUGGCGAUUGGAGAAUAUAAAACCCUAAAAUGGAAAGCAGAGGAGUGACUGGAAAUAAAGCUUUAGAAACUGAAUACAUGGCUGUGAAUGGUAACAACGUCUCUUUCCUAGGGAUAAGGAUCGACUGAGAAAAUCCUCCACGGUGGGUUAGAAGAUGCUAAAGAAACAUUGAAAUAUUUGAGCUACAGACUCAGAUGGCCAAGAGGCUCCAGAGGGGCAGGCCUGGUGAUGAAUGGAGCUGCAGAGAUUGCACCUGCCGAGGGUGAGAGACAGAAAAGUGGCAGAACCUAAACCAGUGCCCCGGCCCCCACCCAGCCUUUGCAAUCACCCAUUGAGUACCCCGUGUCCGGUGACUUGAGAUCAAGACCAAGGAGAAAAGAAAAGUUCACAUGUCAAAAAUAUAUCCACAAGCUUCAACCAAACAAUAACUUCGAAACAUGCCUUUCUCUCUCUCUUGGAAAAGGAUUUCUGAAUGUCGGAGUGAGAUUUGUUACCUGAUGAUGCCUCAGGUCUGUGAAGACUUCUCCUCCCAGGGUCUCGAGGGAAGUGGAAGGAAGUGCCCAUCAGGUUAA